rfam:Aciduliprofundum boonei T469, complete genome.
GGGCCGGUAGAUCAGCCCGGUAGAUCGCCACAUUCGCAAUGUGGAGGCCGCGGGUUCGAGUCCCGCCCGGUCCA